rnacentral:rRNA from 1 species
AUUGAACGCUGGCGGCAUGCCUUACACAUGCAAGUCGAACGGUAACAGGUCUUCGGAUGCUGACGAGUGGCGAACGGGUGAGUAAUACAUCGGAACGUGCCUAGUAGUGGGGGAUAACUACUCGAAAGAGUGGCUAAUACCGCAUGAGAUCUACGGAUGAAAGCAGGGGAUCGCAAGACCUUGUGCUACUAGAGCGGCCGAUGGCAGAUUAGGUAGUUGGUGGGAUAAAAGCUUACCAAGCCGACGAUCUGUAGCUGGUCUGAGAGGACGAUCAGCCACACUGGGACGGAGACACGGCCCAGACUCCUACGGGAGUAAGCAGUGGGGAAUUUUGGACAAUGGGCGCAAGCCUGAUCCAGCAAUGCCGCGUGCAGGAUGAAGGCCUUCGGGUUGUAAACUGCUUUUGUACGGAACGAAAAGCCCCGGGUUAAUACCCUGGGGUCAUGACGGUACCGUAAGAAUAAGCACCGGCUAACUACGUGCCAGCAGCCGCAGUAA